UGACUUGAAUGCAGUAAAUGAGAGCAUUGUGGGUAUAAGGUGUAUUUUCUCAAGGUCAGUGGUGUUUCAAGCACUUCAUCAUAUGAUGUCAUGCAAAUACCCAAUGUAAAUCAAUUAAAGCGUAAAUUAAUUUGUCUGAUUCAUUCCACAGAAGUUGUCGGUCAUGAGGAGGUUUGUUUGCAUCUGAAUACUCUCAUGUUCAGAACGAGCAAUAAGAUGGUGAGUAUUAUUUCCUUUAUUCAGAUAACGGCACAAAAGGCCAAAUCAGACGUCCUUGGAUGUGCCCCUUCACACAAAAAAUAUCAACUAUUGGAGACUUUAUCAGACCUGGCCACUAAUUAACAGAAAUCACAGUAACUAUUGCAUAGAGGGAUCUUGUUAAAUCGAAAAGCGGAGUGAUCAGGGUGGCAAAGUGCUAAUUAAGCUCUGAAUUGGGGGGCUGCAUCAACAGAGCACAGGGAUGAUCCUUCGCUGUCUGUUUACAUCGCUGCAGUGCAUUCUGGGAGGUCACCCCACAUCCUGGGGCAGGCGUACUGUUCUGCUGCUCUGGAAAAUAACAAUGUGUAAGACAGAUAAAACCAGCACAUCUAAAUGUAUUUAUACUAAUGUCGUCAACGUUUAAAGCAGGAAACUUUAUUUUCAAGAACUUAGGCAUUUCCACACAAUAUGAGGAUGCGGAGUCAUUUGUUGCUGCAGCAGAAGCACAGAUGGAAACCCUUUCCAUCA